rnacentral:rRNA from 1 species
UCCAGACUCCUACGGGAGGCAGCAGUGGGGGAUAUUGCACAAUGGGGGGAACCCUGAUGCAGCGACGCCGCGUGGGUGAAGGAGCGUUUCGGCGCGUAAAGCCCUAUCGGCAGGGAAGAAGGAGGACGGUACCUGACUAAGAAGCCCCGGCUAACUACGUGCCAGCAGCCGCGGUAAUACGUAGGGGGCAAGCGUUAUCCGGAUUUACUGGGUGUAAAGGGGGCGCAGACGGCAGCGCAAGCCAGGAGUGAAAGCCCGGGGCCCAACCCCGGGACUGCUCUUGGAACUGCGCGGCUGGAGUGCAGGAGGGGCAGGCGGAAUUCCUGGUGUAGCGGUGAAAUGCGUAGAUAUCAGGAGGAACACCGGUGGCGAAGGCGGCCUGCUGGACUGCAACUGACGUUGAGGCCCGAAAGCGUGGGGAGCAAACAGGAUUAGAUACCCGAGUACA